rnacentral:rRNA from 1 species
UACGUAGGGGGCGAGCGUUGUCCGGAAUUACUGGGCGUAAAGGGCGCCUAGGCGGUUUUUUAAGUCCGCUGUGAAAGACCGAGGCUCAACCUCGGGAUGUCAGCGGAGACUGGAAGACUGGAGUGUCGGAGAGGAGUGCGGAAUUCCUGGUGUAGCGGUGGAAUGCGUAGAUAUCAGGAGGAACACCGAUGGCGAAGGCAGCACUCUGGCCGAAGACUGACGCUGAAGCGCGAAAGCCAGGGGAGCGAAUGGG